rnacentral:rRNA from 1 species
AGCGAACGCUGGCGGCAGGCUUAAUACAUGCAAGUCGAGCGCCCGUAGCAAUACGGGAGCGGCAGACGGGUGAGUAACACGUGGGAACAUGCCCUUCGGUUCGGAAUAACUCAGGGAAACUUGAGCUAAUACCGGAUACGCCCUUACGGGAAAGAUUAUCGCCGAAGGAUUGGCCCGCGUCCGAUUAGCUAGUUGGUGAGGUAACGGCUCACCAAGGCGACGAUCGGUAGCUGGCUGAGAGGAUGAUCAGCCACACUGGGACUGAGACACGGCCCAGACUCCGUACGGGAGGCAGCAGUAGGGAAUAUUGGACAAUGGGCGAAAGCCUGAUCCAGCCAUGCCGCGUGGGUGAUGAA